UUUCCAGACCCUACAGACUGAGCUACGACCGCCCUUAGAAUAAACUGUAUAUAUAUUAUACAUAUGGAAAGAUAGCAAAUCUUGGAUGGAUCGAUAGAUAGAGCUGGAGUAGGUCAUCUCUCCAUCUGAGGGUUUGGCAGUUCAAUCCCCAGUCUACAAGUCAAGGUAGAUCCUCAAAGAUGUUCUCACAGCCAUCGGUGUGUGAAUGUGAUUCGUUUUAGUUUCCAGUAGUCAUGGGCAGCAGUGCACUUGUGUGGCAGCGUCUACCUUUGUGACUGUGUGACUAAAAGCAAUAUGCACACGUGAUAUAAGUAAAGUUCAUUCUCCAUUGACAUUGCUGAAGCAGUUUGCAUAUUAAAUAUCACUCUGUGUGUCUGUACCAAUGCCAUCAUAACAUCAUGUCUUAAUAUGUCACAGACAUUUAGAACAGAAGUAGAUUAACUAGAAGACAUCCUACAUGCAUCUUGGUUGUUUACGUCUCGUGACUAAUUUUCUCAAUGUCAUCUCAUUAAAGGAUCAUUACUGUGAAGCAAAUGGAUCAAAGGAUCUUGGGAAAUUGAGGAAGCUUGAUGGGGUAUUGUUUCUGGCCACAUAUGUCACUUAUAUCAACCGUUUGUCAACAAAGACCGCGGUACUGUUCAGUACAGAGCGUUAAGCUGCGUUUCACUUUGUUGUGUAGCUGCCACGACAACGACAUUGAUUUGAUUCGCGCUUUCUGCUCUUUUCACGUUGUUUAUUUCAUGUAGCGGGGCGCUGUUUUCUGAAUAAGCUGCUUUAAACCCACAGUGCCCCAUACACAGCGGGUGAACUUAGGAACUUAUGAAUAUUAACAGGCAUACAGACAAAUGUUUGCUUCAGAAAUUAAAGCUUAAUGUGGAGAUUAAAGAGAGCUAAUGAUAAAUGUUCAUAUCAAAGGCGACUGGAAAAAAUGAUCUAAAUGAAAUGAGACUGUUGCUCGGUAACUAAUGAAGAUGCCACUGUUUGUUGAAUUCACUCCAUGAUUUGUGUGUUUAACAAGUUAUUGUGUUCACAAAUUAAAGAUUGAAAGAUUUUCCGUCCAUUGACUUAUUAAAAAAAUCAACUAAUCAUUUAAAUUCUCCUAUAUGUCAUUUGAAUCUCUCCAGCACUGGAGCUUUAGCAGAGUGCCGAUUUA